CCUACGGGUGGCAGCAGUGGGGAAUAUUGCACAAUGGGGGAAACCCUGAUGCAGCGACGCCGCGUGAGUGAAGAAGUAUUUCGGUACGUAAAGCUCUAUCAGCAGGGAAGAAAAAAAGUCCUUUGGACUUUGGACGGUACCUGACCAAGAAGCCCCGGCUAACUACGUUCCAGCAGCCGCGGUAAUACGUAGGGGGCAAGCGUUAUCCGGAUUUACUGGGCGUAAAGGGAGCGUAGACGGCAGCGCAAGUGUGGAGUGAAAUGCCGGGGCCCAACCCCGGAACUGCUUUGGAAACUGUGCAGCUAGAGUGCAGGAGAGGUGAGCGGAAUUCCUAGUGUAGCGGUGAAAUGCGUAGAGAUUAGGAGGAACACCAGUGGCGAAGGCGACUUACUGGACUGUAACUGACGUUGAGGCUCGAAAGCGUGGGGAGCAAACAGGAUUAGAUACCCUGGUAGUC
rnacentral:rRNA from 1 species